UGUCCCAACUAAAAAUCAAUCGACGAAAGAGAAGAGAAAAGAAGCAAUGGGGAGAAAGAAGGGAUUGCCGGAGUUCGAAGAGACGGCGCCGGAUGGAUUUGAUCCGGAGAAUCCGUACAAGGAUCCGGUGGCGAUGGUGGAAAUGAGAGAGCACAUCGUUAGGGAGAAGUGGAUCCAAAUCGAGAAGGCUAAGAUCUUGAGGGAGAAGGUGAAAUGGUGUUACCGCGUGGAAGGCGUCAACCACUACCAGAAAUGCCGUCUUCUCGUACAGCAGUAUCUCGACUCCACUCGCGGCGUCGGCUGGGGAAAAGAUCACCGUCCUAUCUCCCUCCACGGUCCUAAGCCUGAGGCUGUUGAAGCUGAAUAAUAAUUCUUGGCGUCUGAUCAACCUGAGGUGAUGUGAGUAAGUUGUUCUCGGUGAUGGUGACCGAGCUUCUUGCACAAGACAUGAAAUGGUCUUUGGACUGUGCAGAUUUGCUCCUGUUUUCUUUUUUUCUGUUCUUUUGGAAACAUGGCAGUUUUUGGACUGUAGAUUCAUGUAAACCUUUGUUCGAGCUUGAGUAAUGUAUUGCUACACUCAACAGUCAAUACUAGUCUCUCGUUAUCAAAUAAGACUCUUUAUCCACUGUUA